AACUUAAAGGAAUUGACGGGGCCCGCACAAGCGGUGAGCAUGUGGUUUAAUCGAAGCAACGCGAGGAACCUUACCAGGGCUUGACAUACACUGGAAUGGGCGUGAAAGCGUCCAGCCCCUCGGGGCCGGUGUACAGGUGCUGCAUGGCUGUCGUCAGCUCGUGCUGUGAAGUGUUGGGUUAAGUCCCGUAACGAGCGCAACCCUUGUCCUUAGUUACCAGCACGUUAUGGUGGGCACUCUAAGGAGACUGCCGGUGACAAACCGGAGGAAGGUGGGGAUGACGUCAAGUCAUCAUGGCCCUUACGGCCUGGGCUACACACGUGCUACAAUGGUCGGUACAAAGGGUUGCCAAGCCGCGAGGUGGAGCUAAUCCCAUAAAACCGAUCGUAGUCCGGAUCGCAGUCUGCAACUCGACUGCGUGAAGUCGGAAUCGCUAGUAAUCGUGAAUCAGAAUGUCACGGUGAAUACGUUCCCGGGCCUU
rnacentral:rRNA from 1 species